CAUCUAAACUGAUGCAUGAAUACCCAGUAACCAAAGGCUGCCAUCAAAUGUGAAUAUUAUGUUAUAUUGUGCGUGAGUUGUACAAUCAUCAGCUGACGAUAACAGACCAGACGCAAACCGGCUUGAUAUGUAUUUGUUUGGUAUGAAUAUCGUUUUCUGUUUUACAGUUUAUUGAACUUUGACGCUCGUACAUUAACUUUAAGCAAUAAAUACACAAUGAUUACGAUUUAAUUAACCUAAACAAGAGGAUCUAAACUAAGUUCACAUAGCGCAGUCCCUUCAGCAAA